rnacentral:rRNA from 1 species
UACAGAGGCCCCAAGCGUUACUGAGAAUCACUGGGUUUAAAGGGUGCGUAGGUGGCGCGUAAGUCUGUUGUGAAAUCCCUGGGCUCAACCCAGGAAAUGCUUCGGAUACUGGCGUGCUUGAGGCUAGUAGAGGUCACUGGAACUGACGGUGGAGCGGUGAAAUGCGUAGAUAUCGUCAGGAACACCAGAGGCGAAGGCGGCCUACUGGGCUGCACCUGACGCUGAGCCGCGAAAGCCAGGGGAGCGAACGGG